rnacentral:rRNA from 1 species
AACGAACGCUGGCGGCGUGGCUAAGGCAUGCAAGUCGAACGGGACCUUUUGAGUAGCAAUACAAGAGAGGUUCAGUGGCGGACGGGUGAGUAAUACAUAGGUAACGUGCCUCGAGUUCAGGGAUAACAGCGUCCCGCAAGGGACUUUGCGAAAGUGCUGGUAAUACCUGAUAACGUCAAGAAGUCUCAUGGCUUUUUGACCAAAGGUGGGGACCUUCGGGCCUGCCGACUCAUGAGCGGCCUAUGUCCUAUCAGCUAGUUGGCGGGGUAACGGCCCACCAAGGCUAUGACGGGUAACCGGCGUGAGAGCGCGACCGGUCACAUCGGGACUGAGACACUGCCCGGACACCUACGGGUGGCUGCAGCAACGAAUAUUCCGCAAUGGGCGAAAGCCUGACGGAGCGACGCCGCGUGAGGGAUGAAGUCCCUUCGGGAUGUAAACUUCAAUAGUACGCCAGGAACCAAUCCUGGCUAAUAUCCAGGAAAGUUGACCAGCGUACGGAAGAGGCGGCUAACUCCGUGCCAGCAGCCGCGGUAAUACGGAGGCCUCGAGCGUUGUUCGGAAUCACUGGGCUUAAAGCGCGUGUAGGCGGAACGGUAAGUACUGUGUGAAAUCCCCGGCUUCAAUCCGGGAACUGCUUGGUAUACUGCCGUUCUUGAGGCAGGUAGGGGUUACUGGAACCUUAGGUGGAGCGGUGAAAUGCGUAGAUAUCUAAGGGAACGCCUGUGGCGAAAGCGGGUGACUGGGCCUGACCUGACGCUGAGACGCGAAAGCGUAGGGAGCAAACGGGAUUAGAUACCCCGGUAGUCUACGCCGUAAACGAUGCGCACUAGGUUCGAGUGGUACUGACACCUCUCGUGCCGAAACAAAAGCGUUAAGUGCGCCGCCUGGG